UACGUAGGGGGCAAGCGUUGUCCGGAAUCAUUGGGCGUAAAGCGCGUGUAGGCGGCCCGGUAAGUCCGCUGUGAAAGUCGGGGGCUCAACCCUCGAAAGCCGGUGGAUACUGUCGGGCUAGAGUACGGAAGAGGCGAGUGGAAUUCCUGGUGUAGCGGUGAAAUGCGCAGAUAUCAGGAAGAACACCAACGGCGAAGGCAGCUUGCUGGGACGGUACUGACGCUGAGACGCGAAAGCGUGGGGAGCGAACAGG
rnacentral:rRNA from 1 species